rnacentral:lncRNA from 1 species
CGACUNCCUCUCUCACAAGAGUCUCUAUCUCUCUCUCUCUCUCUCUCUCUCUCUCUCUCUCUCUCACACACACACACACACACACAGGAAAGCAUGGAGUGGUCUGAUAAAUGUGGUUGGCUGUCAUGUUUCAGGAUGGAUGAUCAUGAAAGGAGGAGGGAGACCAUGAAAAGGAAGAAAUUUCAAGAAGUGUUGCAGCUACAUGAGAUGAUUAGGGCCCAAAAGGGAGAGGCUUCAGCCAAUGAAAGUGAGAACCGUGAAGGGGCUGCUGCAACAAAUGAGUUCUGUCCAUGCAUUUCUCUACCCUGUACUGCAAAAGCUGCAUAACUACUAUAUUUCCUUAGUACUAUUAGGUUCUAGGUUUCUUUUUUUCUUCUAUUGUUGCUUUUCAUUAUGAAUGUUGUGAGAUAUGGUAAAUUCUCUAUUGGGAUUGGAUGCCAUAAAAAUCUUCUAUCCACCCUUUUUUGGGGUAAUUCUUCCCAUGUAAGACAAAGAGAACAGAGAGGUGGAAUGUUAUAGAAAGUAUAACAUCUUACAACAGUACUACUUGUUGAAUAGACAUAUUUUGCCCCCUACUAAGGGGUCUGUAAGAGCUAAGAGCUAAAACCUUGCUAGCAGUUGCAACAUGUUUUAGAUACAUUUGAGCUCAGAAUAAUAUGAGCAGGCUUGGAGAAAUUAUUUAUACAGA